rnacentral:lncRNA from 1 species
UGUGCUGCUGGGCUAGCGGCGGCGGCUGCCCAGUCGGUGUAAGCCUUUUCCGCGCGCGCCCGCUGGCCGGCGGGGAGCCUGUGAGCCUGGGCUCCCUGCGGGGCAAGGGACUACUUAUCGAGAAUGUGGCGUCCCUCGGAGGCACCACGGUCCGGGACUACACCCAGAUGAACGAGCCGCAGCGGCGCCUCGGCCCCGGGGCCUGGUGGUGCUUGGCUUCCCGUGCAACCAGUCUGGGCAUCAGGAGAACGCCAAGAACGAAGAGAUUCUGAAUUCCCUCAAGUACGUCCAACCUGGUGGUGGGUUCGAGCCCAGCUUCAUGCUCUUGGAGAAGUGCGAGGUGAACGGUGCGGGGGCGCACCCUCUCUCCGCCUUUCUGCGGGACGCCGGCCAGCCCCCAGGGACGACGCCACUGAGCUCAUGACCGACCCCAAGCUCAUCACCUGGUCUCCGGUGUGUCGCAACGAUGUUGCCUGGAACUUCUUUGAGAAGUUCCUGGUGGGCCCUGACGGUGUGCCUGUAUGCAGGUAUAGCUGCCGCUUCCAGACCAUUGACAUCGAGCCUGACAUCGAAGCCCUGCUGUCUCAAGGGCCCAGAUGUGCCUAG